AUUGAACGCUGGCGGCAUGCCUUACACAUGCAAGUCGAACGGUAACGCGGGGCAACCUGGCGACGAGUGGCGAACGGGUGAGUAAUACAUCGGAACGUGCCCAGUAGUGGGGGAUAGCCCGGCGAAAGCCGGAUUAAUACCGCAUACGACCUACGGGUGAAAGCAGGGGAUCGCAAGACCUUGCGCUAUUGGAGCGGCCGAUGUCAGAUUAGGUUGUUGGUGGGGGUAAAAAGCCUACCAAGCCGACGAUCUGUAGCUGGUCUGAGAGGACGACCAGCCACACUGGGGACUGAGACACGGCCCCAGACUCCUACGGGAGGCAGCAGUGGGGAAUUUUGGACAAUGGGCGCAAGCCUGAUCCAGCCAUGCCGCGUGCGGGAAGAAGGCC
rnacentral:rRNA from 1 species